GACACAUGGCUCACUGCUGUCCCAUCACCCAUGGUCAAGAUGGCAGAGGGCUUUCCUUCCCUGGCAGAGCCCUCAACAAGUCAGAGCUAAGAUCGGCCUGCUUCUCUCCACCUGCCCCUUGCUCAGACAGCAGGAAGGUAAAGAGUCUGCCGCAGGCGGGAUCUGGAGAGCAGGACACCUGGGCCCCAUCCCUCCAUCUGGGGAUGUGGACUCUGCUGUAUCUCAGCUGUAGUGGCAGAUGAGAAAAAGUCCUCAGAGAGAAACGUCCUGCUGAUGUGGAAGAGGUGAAACAAAAACUGGCAGAAGCACUGAAAGGCAUCAAAAUAGACGAAUUCAAAAAUUGUUUUGAGCAGUGGCAAAAAAUGUCUCCAAAGUUGUAUUGCAUCAAAUGGAGAGUACUUUGAAGGUCUCAGCAGAAAACUUGCCUCUAGAGGAAGCUCUUCCCUGAUGUCAGGUUGCCACCCUCCAUACUCAUCGGCCUGUGGGACAGAAGCCCCGAUGUGGGAGAAACACAGGCGGGUUCGCUCUGGAUCAGCUGUGCCUGUCAUGAACGCCCCGCACAACUGAGGGCCUGGAUCGAACCGGAA